GCCUCGUCGGCGCGGUCGGGCCAGGUGCCGAGCUCGCUCAUGCCGAGCGGGAGCGCCGGUUCGGUGGCCGGCAGCAGGCG
rnacentral:tRNA from 1 species